CGAGAACUGUAAUUGUUAGAUUACAAAACCUUGGAUUAUGAAAGGAGUUUUAUUCAAUAAAAGAGAAGGACACGGCAUACGCAGUAACAUAUUGCCCAGAAAUCUUCCAAGAUGAAGCAGCCAUUGGUUAUGACGUUUGCUUUGAUCUUCUGUGUUCUGACAGUUUCUGUACAGGGUGCAUCUUUACAUGGUUUCCUGUUUUCGGAGGAAUCAACGACGGACGGAUCACAAACCUGCUUUGAAGUCCACGAUAUGCACCAUUGCCUGGGAUGUUUCUACAACGCACACCAACACCAGUGCUGCUGUCCCAACAAACGAUGACGUCACCAGCCAGUGACUCUGAACAUUCAAUGCAGCGAUUUUACGAUUGUUUAACUUGUAUAUAUUCUUAUAUAUAUAAACGUGUGGCGGCCUACAUGUAGAUAUGUGUUUAAUCUAUAUUUUGUAUUUAGAUGUUAUAAAAAAAUGUUUUCAUUU